rnacentral:lncRNA from 1 species
UUGACGCCAGAUUUCGUCACUAGUAGAAUCGGCGCCAAGAAGAGGGGGAAUCGGAGAAGCACAGAUUGGAAUCGGUCAAAUGGUGCUACAGUGUGAGAUCGGCCGGUGACUUCUGUCUUGCUUCGGGUCGAACAUACCAGAAUCCCAAAUCGGUAAUCUUUUGCCGAUGAGGAAUCGGUCGAUUAGGAGGAUGGGCUGAUUGGGCCUGUAUGGGCUUAGAAGGGAAUAGAAGGACGAGGUGGAAAUCAGCCCACGAAGCGUGAAGUAACCAACCUAGCACGAAUCGUGCUUGUAGAUAUUUGUUUUCUGUUUGAAUUAGGGAUAGAAUUCUAGUCGGUUAAGAAGAUAUCUGUACGGGGCUAUAAAUAGCUGCCUUUGUAAAUCUGUAAUCAUCAACCAAUCAAUACAACAAGCUACUUUUUCCUCGUACUUACUUUCAAGCAGGCGACUUCGCUACUACUUUUCUCUUUUUCACGAGUUCGUGCGGGUUGGCAGGGCUGCAUCAUCUUGAUCUCCGGCCGAUUCUGUAA